AUACUAACCUGGCACGGGAGAUAUCAUGAUUACGAAUGUGGUUUCUCUAGGGAAACGAUUGUUAAUUGUACUCUAAAUGUGCUGUCCACUGUGAUUUUUCACAAAUGUAGGAAAUUCAACUGCAUAAUUUGUGGUAGUGGAAGACUGCAUUCAUUCUCUCCCCUG